AGUUUGAUCCUGGCUCAGGAUGAACGCUAGCGGCAGGCUUAAUACAUGCAAGUCAAGGGGGUAGCAAUACAACCGGCGCACGGGUGAGUAACACGUACACAACAUACCAUAUACUGAGGUAUAGCUUCGGGAAACUGAAGGUAAUCCCUCAUAGUAUUGUGAAAGGGCAUCUUUUUACAAUUAAAGUUUCGACGGUAUAUGAUUGGUGUGCGUUUGAUUAGCUAGUUGGUAGGGUAACGGCCUACCAAGGCAACGAUCAAUAGCUGGCGUGAGAGCGCGACCAGCCACACUGGAACUGAGACACGGUCCAGACUCCUACGGGAGGCAGCAGUAGGGAAUAUUGGACAAUGGGCGAAAGCCUGAUCCAGCCAUGCCGCGUGAUAGAUGAAGGCCCUCUGGGUUGUAAAUAUCUUUUAUCUGGGAAGAAACACUUCUAUUCUUAGAAGCUUGACGGUACCAGAGGAAUAAGCACCGGCUAACUCCGUG
rnacentral:rRNA from 1 species